GACCAGGGAAUUUAAGUGACCCACCCCACAUCCCACAGGCAGUCCACAUCAGCAGCAGAAUUGGUUCCAACCUCUAACUGAUCACUAAACUGGAAGAUGAGAGGAAAACUGUGGUGUCUGGAGUCAAAA